rnacentral:rRNA from 1 species
UACGUAGGGGGCUAGCGUUGUCCGGAAUCAUUGGGCGUAAAGAGCUCGUAGGCGGUUCGUCGCGUCGGCUGUGAAAUCCCGGAGCUCAACUCCGGGUCUGCAGUCGAUACGGGCGGACUCGAGUUCGGCAGGGGAGACUGGAAUUCCUGGUGUAGCGGUGAAAUGCGCAGAUAUCAGGAGGAACACCGGUGGCGAAGGCGGGUCUCUGGGCCGAUACUGACGCUGAGGAGCGAAAGCGUGGGGAGCGAACAGG